AACGAACGCUGGCGGCAGGCUUAACACAUGCAAGUCGAGCGCAUCCUUCGGGGUGAGCGGCGGACGGGUGAGUAACGCGUGGGAACGUGCCCUCUUCUACGGAAUAGCCUCGGGAAACUGAGAGUAAUGCCGUAUACGCCCGCAAGGGGAAAGAUUUAUCGGAGGAGGAUCGGCCCGCGUUGGAUUAGGUAGUUGGUGGGGUAACGGCCUACCAAGCCGACGAUCCAUAGCUGGUUUGAGAGGAUGAUCAGCCACACUGGGACUGAGACACGGCCCAGACUCCUACGGGAAGCAGCAGUGGGGAAUCUUGGACAAUGGGGGCAACCCUGAUCCAGCCAUGCCGCGUGAUCGAUGAAGGCCUUAGGGUUGUAAAGAUCUUUCAGCUGGGAAGAUAAUGACGGUACCAGCAGAAGAAGCCCCGGCUAACUCCGUG
rnacentral:rRNA from 1 species